rnacentral:rRNA from 1 species
GGGUGGGAUGAGUAUUCUAAGGCGCGUGGAAGAACUCUCUUUAAGGAACUCUGCAAAAUAGCACCGUAUCUUCGGUAUAAGGUGUGGUUAGCUUUGUAUUAGGAUUUACUCCGAAAGCAAGGAAACUUACAACAAAGAGUCCCUCCCGACUGUUUACCAAAAACACAGCACUCUGCUAACUCGUAAGAGGAUGUAUAGGGUGUGACGCCUGCCCGGUGCUCGAAGGUUAAUUGAUGGGGUUAGCAUUAGCGAAGCUCUUGAUCGAAGCCCGAGUAAACGGCGGCCGUAACUAUAACGGUCCUAAGGUAGCGAAAUUCCUUGUCGGUUAAAUACCGACCUGCAUGAAUGGCGUAACGAGAUGGGAGCUGUCUCAAAGAGGGAUCCAGUGAAAUUGUAGUGGAGGUGAAAAUUCCUCCUACCCGCGGCAAGACGGAAAGACCCCGUGGACCUUUACUACAGCUUGACACUGCUACUUGGCUAAGAAUGGGCAGGAUAGGUGGGAGGCCUUGAGUAUAUGAGGCCAGUUGUAUAUGAGCCAUUGUUGAGAUACCACUCUUUCUUAUUUGGGUAGCUAACCAGCUUGAGUUAUCCUCAAGUGGGACAAUGUCUGGUGGGUAGUUUGACUGGGGCGGUCGCCUCCCAAAUAAUAACGGAGGCUUACAAAGGUUGGCUCAGAACGGUUGGAAAUCGUUCGUAGAGUAUAAAGGUAUAAGCCAGCUUAACUGCAAGACAUACAAGGCAAGCAGAGACGAAAGUCGGUCUUAGUGAUCCGGUGGUUCUGUGUGGAAGGGCCAUCGCUCAAAGGAUAAAAGGUACCCCGGGGAUAACAGGCUGAUCUCCCCCAAGAGCUCACAUCGACGGGGAGG